rnacentral:rRNA from 1 species
AUGAGUCGUCGUGAUGGCAUCAACAUCCCCGAUGGCAAGUUCUACCUUGGAAAUGCUGGCUAUGCAUGUCGUCCAGGUGUUCUUCCACCCUUCAGGAAAACCAGGUGCCAUCUGAACGAGUUUGCUGGUAGGAACUAUCCUAAGACUCCUCAGGAACUGUUCAAUAUCAGACACUAUAGCCUUAGAGUGACUGUUGAGAGGGCCUUUGGAGCUCUGAAGAACAGGUUUAAGAUCCUGGAUCAGAAGCCAUUCCACCCUUACCCUCAGGUGAAGCUUGUUCUUGCAUUUUGCAUCAUUUACAACUGGAUCCUACAAUGGGGAGGUGAUGAAUUUGUGCCGGAGGAGGAAGUGACUCUUGAUGAGGUGAUCAGCUCCGGCCAUGGUGUGGAGGCGUUCGAAAAUGAAGCGUGAAAGAACAAAAGGUUGAAGUGGGCUCAGGCAAUUUGGGAUAACAGAGGUCAGACAAUGAUCUGA